CCUACGGGAGGCAGCAGUAGGGAAUAUUGCUCAAUGGGGGAAACCCUGAAGCAGCAACGCCGCGUGGAGGAUGAAGGUUUUCGGAUUGUAAACUCCUUUUUUUAGAGAAGAUAAUGACGGUAUCUAACGAAUAAGCACCGGCUAACUCCGUGCCAGCAGCCGCGGUAAUACGGAGGGUGCAAGCGUUACUCGGAAUCACUGGGCGUAAAGAGCGCGUAGGCGGGAUAGCAAGUCAGAUGUGAAAUCCUAUGGCUUAACCAUAGAACUGCAUUUGAAACUGUUAUUCUAGAGUAUGGGAGUGGUAGGUGGAAUUCUUGGUGUAGGGGUAAAAUGCGUAGAGAUCAAGAGGAAUACUCAUUGCGAAGGCGACCUGCUAGAACAUAACUGACGCUGAUGCGCGAAAGCGUGGGGAGCAAACAGGAUCAGAUACCCUAGUAGUC
rnacentral:rRNA from 1 species